rnacentral:lncRNA from 1 species
GUAACAUCACCUACAACACUUUGCCUUUACAUAACAGUUUGAAGUUUCCUUUGCAGUUAUUACAGGCUGGUUUUGUGGCAGGUCAGUCCCCUUCUCGCCUACCCUCCCAUGCUGUACUAAAUGCUGCGCACAAAUGUAACAAAAUUAUUUUGUCCCCACUGCAAGAUUCUUAGAGCAGUUACAGCAGGGUAAUUAAGGAGACUGAGAUAAUUCAGAAUAAUAUGAGAAAUAAUUCCAGUUAGAGCCUGGGAAAACCAGAAAUGGAUCCUGAAAAAAAAAAUGCAAUGUUGAAUGAUUAUAAUUAUGUUUCCCUUUAUAUAGAUCUGGAUUUGCCCCACUGAAAUUAAUGAGUCCAUUUUCAAUCCAGGAGCUUAGGUGUACUCCCUGAUUACCCCACAUUGCCACUGAUGACCUGUUUAUGAACCUCAGUAUUCCUCCCUUCAUUACAAAUAGGCAUUACCAGUUAUAGUCCUACACAAAAUCCUACUAGUUCAGACAACAGCGGACUGUUUUUCGUAAGAUCUCCUCUGCGGGUACAGAAGUCCUAUUCUGCAUUCCACUCCUCCUCCUCAGACAUCAACUCAGCAACGUCUCUUUCGCCUUCAUUCACAAAGGGGCAAAUCUUGCACAUUUCAUAAACAGCAGAGAGCCUAUGCCGACAGUGAGGAAUAGGUUCCAGAAAUUGUGUGUGUGAUGCAAAUUAUGCUGAUCUCCACCUCCCUUGAUUCUGAAGAAAAUCCACCUUGAUCUUCACUGCAUAAUUUUGAUGGUCUGCGAUCGGAAUGAUAAUGAACUUUUGUGAUAACAAACUUCUGCAUUUUGCUUGCUUAGAUUUUUCUGUUUGUUUCUGUGGGAUCUUUUCAGGUACAUGAUAAAUUGCAUUUAGGAGUUGUACCAUUUGACACACUGAAGAGAGGCAGACUGUUAAAACACAAGAGUCUUUGAAGGGUUAAAGAUACUUAUCUUAAUCAUGUUAGGCUAACUGGGGUGUGUAUCCUAAAUUGUGAUAUUUAUAUGGAAUGAUGUCAGUGAUUUACACUACAUACUUUGCUGAAGGGAAUAUUGGUUUACAUUUGGGUUUGAGGUCCAUGUGUGAAAAGUAG